rnacentral:lncRNA from 1 species
UAUAUAAAUUUUGCACUUAUUGGUAUAAAAUUUUAAAUUUUUUAAAAUUUUUUAAUAUUUAACAAAUUAAUAAGAAUAAUACAAAAUAUUGGUUUUUGGAUAAAUAAGGUAUCAGAUUUGUACCGGUUUUUUUUGGUGUAUAGGUUGUGGGUUCAUUUGUAUAAAAUACUCAUCAAUUUUGCAUUUUUGUAAGAAAAAGGCCAUUUUUUUUUUGUAAAUUUAUAGAUUCGGUUUGAAAUUUUAGUAAAUUGACCAAAAUAGUUUUGUUACCCUUUUUCUCUCUCUCUCUCUCUCUCUCUUUUUUUUCUCUUUUGUUUUCUUCCUCCCAGUUCUGUCUUCCUCUUUUUCGCUGUUUCUUCAUCUUUUUCUCCUCCCGCUUUCUCUUUUUCUCCUUCUCCUCCACCGCCCCCACGCCGACGGCUCGCUCUUCUCUCUAACCUUGCCCAUGCCUCUGCCGACUCCAUCUCGGAUAUGAUACAAAUUAAGGAGGUGAGACUGAGGUAGAGGGUUGGUCACGUCGACGACAACGAGGGUACCGUAGGAUUUGAGGACAAUGGGGAGGAAGAGCGAGUUGGGGUAAGGGCGGCUAUGACAACAGAGGGUAAGGGGAUGCGAUAACGUAAAAAGGUGAAGAAGAUGGAAGAAAAUGAAGAAGAAAAAAUAAAAAGAAAAUAUAAGAGAAAAAUAUAUAUAUAUUUUUUGAAAAGAUCAUUAUGUGUCAUAACUAUUAUAAGAAAAGACCAGAAAGUAUAAAAAAAAUAGAAGAAGUUACAUUAUUUGAGACGAAAUUGCAUUGUUUAAGAUUAUGUGUUACUUUCUGAGGUUAAAUUGCACAAUUUAAAACUAUUUGAAACUAAGUUGCACCAUAAAAAAUAAAGUUACUGAUUGAGACUUAAGUUGUAUUGUUUGAGAACCUGCAACUUAAUCUCAAAUAGUUUUAAAUGAUAUGUUUAAGUCUCAAUAGUAUAACUUUUUUUUUAUAUAGUGCAACUUAGCCUCAAAUAGUUUUAAAUUGUGCAAUUUAGUUCCAAACAGUAUAACUUCAUCUCAAAUAGUAUAACUUUGUUCUACACCGUGCAGCAUUUCUUCUUCUUUCUUCUCUAUUUCUUGAUCUUUCCUGUAACGACCACAUCAUAUGAUUGCCUUCCCAGAAAUAUAUACAUUUCUUUUUUUUUUCUCUUUCUUUUUUUUUCUUCUACCCUUCGUAUUUUUUACGCUAUCUCACCCCCUCCAUCAUCCUCUGCCGUAGUAGCCGCCCCCGCAUGCUCCGGCACGCUCUCCCUCCGUGACGUCCUCAAAUCUUACGGCACUCGCAUCACUGUUCACAACCACGCCCUCUGCCCAGUCGCACCUCCGCAAUCUGUGCCAUAUCCGAGUCGGCGUCACUGAAGGUGUGAGCGAGGUAAGAGAGAUCAGCACAGCAUUGACGUCAGAGCGGUGGAGGAAAAGGAGAAGGAAAAAGAAGCGGGAGGAGAAAGAGAUGAAGAAAUGGUGAAGAUGAAGGAGGAAGAAGAAAAGCAAGUGAGAGAAAAGAAAAAGGAGAGAAAAAGAGGAAUAAGAAAGGGUAUUUUGAUUAGUUUACUAAAACUUUAAGUUGAAUCUGUAAAAAAAAUUUUACAAAAAUACAAAAUCGAUGAAUUUUUAAUG